ensembl:lncRNA
UGUCCACCAGGUAUUGGCCAGUCCAGUGACGCUUGAUGAAGCAUUGUGGGUGGCCGCGCUUCCGAGGCAAUUAUAGGUGGCCGCUGCAUGGCACUGUGUCCAGUUGCUUCCAUUACCGAGGCACCAUGGCCAGUUGCUUCACCUAAGGCAUUUGGGCCAGUCGUGGCACUUGAUGAAGCAUUGUGGCCAGUUGCUUCAGCUAAGGUAUUUAAGCCAGUCGUGACGCUUGAUGAAGCAUUGUGGCCAGUUGCUUCAGCUAAGGUAUUUGGGCCAGUUGCCACACUUCCCGAGGCAUUCUGGGUGGCAGCUUGCGCGGCACUGUGGCCAGUUGCUUCCGCUGCCGAGGCACUAUGGCCAGCUGCUUCACCUAAGGCAUUUGGGCCAGUCAUGGCGCUUGAUGAAGCAUUGUGGCCAGUUGCUUCAGCUAAGGUAUUUAGGCCAGUCGUUACGCUUGAUGAAGCAUUGUGGGUGGCCACUUCCGAGGCAUUAUGGGUGGCCGCUGGCAUGGCACUGUGUCCAGUUGUUUCCACUACCGAGGCACCAUGGCCAGUUGCUUCAGCUAAGGUAUUUGGGCCAGUCGUGACACUUGCUGAGGCAUUGUGGGUGACUGCUUCUGAGGCACGGGAUCCGGUUGCUCCACCUAAGGUAUUUGGGCCAGUCGUGAUGCUUGCAGCAUUGUGGCCAGUUGCUUCAGCUAAGGUAUUUGGGCCAGUUGUGACACUUGCUGAGGCAUUGUGGCCAGUUGCUUCAGCUAAGGUAUUUGGGCCAGUUGUGACACUUGCUGAGGCAUUGUGGGUGACUGCUUCUGAGGCACGGGAUCCGGUUACUCCACCUAAGGUAUUUGGGCCAGUCGUGGCGCUUGAUGAAGCAUUUUGGCCAGUUGCUUCAGCUAAGGUAUUUAGGCCAGUCGUUAAGCUUGAUGAAGCAUUGUGGGUGGCCGCUUCCGAGGCAUUAUGGGUGGCCGCUGGCAUGGCACUGUGUCCAGUUGCUUCCAUUACCGAGGCACCAUGGCCAGUUGCUUCACCUAAGGCAUUUGGGCCAGUCGUGGCACUUGAUGAAGCAUUGUGGCCAGUUGCUUCAGCUAAGGUAUUUAGGCCAGUCGUGACGCUUGAUGAAGCAUUGUGGCCAGUUGCUUCACCUAAGGUAUUUGGGCCGGUUGCCACACUUCCAGAGGCAUUCUGGGUGGCAGCUUGCGCAGCACUGUGGCCAGUUGCUUCCGCUGCCGAGGCACUAUGGCCAGCUGCUUCACCUAAGGCAUUUGGGCCAGUCAUGGCGCUUGAUGAAGCAUUGUGGCCAGUUGCUUCAGCUAAGGUAUUUAGGCCAGUCGUUACGCUUGAUGAAGCAUUGUGGGUGGCCACUUCCGAGGCAUUAUGGGUGGCCGCUGGCAUGGCACUGUGUCCAGUUGUUUCCACUACCGAGGCACCAUGGCCAGUUGCUUCACCUAAGGUAUUUGGGCCAGUCGUGAUGCUUGAUGAAGCAUUGUGAUCAGUUGCUUCAGCUAAGGUAUUUGGGCCAGUUGUGACACUUGCUGAGGCAUUGUGGGUGACUGCUUCUGAGGCACGGGAUCCGGUUGCUCCACCUAAGGUAUUUGGGCCAGUCGUGACGCUUGCAGUGGCAUUACGGGUGGCUGCUUCACCUGCCGAGGCACGGGAUCCGGUAGCUUCACCUGCCGAGGCACGGGAUCCGGUAGCUACCGCUGCAUUGUGGCCAAUUCCUUUUAAUUGAUUUUGGGGAAUAUAUCUAUAAUUACCUACGAAAGAAAAGAACGUUUCAAAUUGUAAAAUGCCAUCAUUUGAAGUUCUGCUAUUUAUACAGUGUUACUUUUACUGAAUUAUAUGUGCAGAACAAAACACACCUUUAGGUGGAGGAUAACAGGUUAUCCCUCCAAUUAGCAGGCAACAAAUCCAAGAAAUUCUAAAUAAAAAUAAAAACAUCCUAGUCAGUUAAAUACCUUUAAAACAUGGAAGACAAGGGAAUCAAACUAGAGCCAUACAACUUACCUCAAAGACAUUUCAAAACUCACAGCCAUUUUUCUCGUCAAAUCCUCUCUAUUCAGAACUAAUGGUAGCCAGAAGCCUUACCAGAAGAUCCCUGAUAUUGUAUCUGAUUGUCUUUUUUGCUGCGCCUUACAAAGGAAUCCUAGACCCUUCUAAUCUGGCUGGUUAAUU